rnacentral:ncRNA from 1 species
CUGCCACAACGGCUUCCUGACGUGGCGGGUUCAGAACCAACGGAGCA